rnacentral:rRNA from 1 species
CUACGGGUGGCACCAGUGAGGAAUUUUGCGCAAUGGGGGAAACCCUGACGCAGCAACGCCGCGUGAGCGAAGAAGGCCCUCGGGUCGUAAAGCUCUGUCAAGUGGGAAAAAAAUCUUUUGAUCAAUAGUCAAAAGACUUGAUGGUACCACUGGAGGAAGCACCGGCUAACUCCGUGCCAGCAGCCGCGGUAAUACGGAGUGUGCAAGCGUUGUUCGGAUUUACUGGGCGUAAAGAGCGUGUAGGCGGUUUAGCAAGUCAGAUGUGAAAGCCCUGGGCUCAACCCGGGAAGUGCAUUUGAAACUGCUUCACUAGAGUAUGGGAGAGGAGAUUGGAAUUCCUGGUGUAGAGGUGAAAUUCGUAGAUAUCAGGAGGAACACCCGUGGCGAAGGCGAUUCUCUGGACCAAUACUGACGCUGAGACGCGAAAGCGUGGGGAGCAAACAGGAUUAGAUACCCGUGUAGUC